UACGUAGGCAGCGAGCGUUGUUCGGAGUUACUGGGCGUAAAGAGCGCGCAGGCGGUCGUUCAAGUCGAGUGUGAAAGCCCCCGGCUCAACUGGGGAGGGUCACUCGAUACUGAUCGACUUGAAGGCGGGAGAGGGAAGCGGAAUUCCCGGUGUAGUGGUGAAAUGCGUAGAUAUCGGGAGGAACACCAGUGGCGAAGGCGGCUUUCUGGCCCGUUCUUGACGCUGAGGCGCGAAAGCUAGGGUAGCAAACGGG
rnacentral:rRNA from 1 species